GUCAGCCCAGCCCAAGUGCCACGGUCAUCCAAGGUAAGUGCGGCCAAAGGCCGCCGCCGUGGUCCCUCCCGCAAGGGAGGAGGGCUGGGUGGAGGA
rnacentral:ncRNA from 1 species